rnacentral:rRNA from 1 species
AGAUUGAACGCUGGCGGCAGGCCUAACACAUGCAAGUCGAGCGGUAGAGAGGUGCUUGCACCUCUUGAGAGCGGCGGACGGGUGAGUAAUGCCUAGGAAUCCGCCUAGUGGUGGGGGAUAACGUUCGGAAACGGACGCUAAUACCGCAUACGUCCUACGGGAGAAAGCGGGGGACCUUCGGGCCUCGCGCCAUUAGAUGAGCCUAGGUCGGAUUAGCUAGUUGGUGAGGUAAUGGCUCACCAAGGCGACGAUCCGUAACUGGUCUGAGAGGAUGAUCAGUCACACUGGAACUGAGACACGGUCCAGACUCCUACGGGAGCAGCAGGUGGGGAAUAGUUGGACAAGUGGGACGAAAGCCUAGAUCCAGCCAUGCCGCGUGUGUGAAGA